CCAAGCUGCAAUUCAAAAUUCAAUUUUGAAAACAAAUGAAAUCUUUUGACACUCUCUCUCACGUCCUUUCUCUCACACACUCUCUCUCUUCUUCCUCCUCCUCCUUCUUCUUAGAUCUUAGAUCUGAAACCUAAACUCUCUACAUUUUAUCUCUUGCUCUCAACCUAAACUCUAUGCAUUUCAUCUCUUCCUCUCUUAACCUAACAAGAUUUCUGUCGAAACCGUGAGUUUGCAUCUGAAAUGGUGGAUCUGAAGUGUAAACUGACGAUGGCGUUAUGGUUUUGUGUAUUGAUUCAUGGUGACUAUACGGUGAUGAUAUGGAAGCGUGACUGAAGAUGGCGGCGAUUUCUUGGUCGGAAAAGGGAACCAGCAUGCGAUUUAGUUUGCGGUGGUGUCGCGGUUGGACUGAGUGGGACACAGUUGUUUCCGAUACAGAUAAUGCAUUUCACAUAUUCGAUGAAAGUCCACAACAAUGUUGCUAUGGAGCUGAUGCGGGGUUCGUGGAAAUGGUAAAGUUCGGGAAAUGGCAAUAGGGGCAGCAGAGAGGGCACUUUGUUCUAUUAGAACAACUAUUUCUGGAGAUCUGAAUGUAAAUGAAGGUAAAUAUUUCUAUCUUAAGGAGACACUUGCAUGAAUAGUGCAGCCGCUGUUAAGUUAUUUGAUAUCAGUUGAUUUCAAAAUUGAGAGUUCUUUCAAUGUGUGUGUCUUCUUUUAUAUUCAUUCGUUUCUAUCAUAUAAAUGGGUACCGGAAGAUUGAAAAUAGCUUCAAUGAUAUGAGCAUUAUUCUGACUUUGGAAGUGGCACUGGUUUUGGAUUGACAAAAGGUAGAAAAUACUUUAAUGUCAAACCUCAAUUGAUUGGUCUUUUAAUCUUAUUAUGAGCAUUAUUAGUUUUGUCAUUAACCUUUGAAGGUAUUUAUUUUUCCAUUUUAUGGUUGCUAUUAUAUUUUUCUAAUGACUUUAUUUGCAUUGCAGAGAUAUGCAGGAACUCAUUGUUGAGAAUGUGCACGGGGACCUACUAACACUCAACAAGUUCAUGUCAAAAGGAAUAUUGAAAAUAAGAGAUUGUUCAUGUAUACGUUCAUCUGGCUAGAGGUGACACAAAUUCCAUCUUCUCAUCGGCUAUCUCAAAGGAUGGUUGAUCAUACAAUGACUAGCUCUACUGCUAACGUCCUUCGUAGAAUUGGCGAGGAUGGAAGAAUUAUACAAGAAUUUAUUCAGCUUGGUACUAAUGCGAAAUUGCUGCUUUACAGACCAUGGAUGUCGAAGCUACUCUAGAAGAAUAUUUAAAAUCCUCAUUUUCAUCACCCCAUAAUGUUUAUUCAUGGUUUCAUUGGUAAUGUUGGAAAAUUGAUACGGUAUCUGGUAUCUGUAGCAACACCUUCCAAGCACUCUAUCUUUCUCUUUUUCUAAUUUUGUCAUUUUCAGGGAAAAUUUGGAUAUGAUGAUGGAGGCUUGGCUUUGUUAGAGGAUUUUGGGGUGGUUAUGUAAAGGAUUACAUGGAUGCAACCAAACCUUACUUUUUUUGUGGUAGAGUAUUGGGAUUCACUUAGUUAUACAUAUGGUGAAAUGGAUCAUAAUCAAGACGCACACAGACAGAGGAUCGUUGACUGGAUUAGUGCUGCCGGUGGUAGUGCUGGUGCAUUCAAUGAUACAACCAAAGGGAUUAUUCACUCUGGAGUUAUUUCAUUGAUAUUUGAAAAGGCAGUGCUUGAACCAACAUUAUGCCCUAUGUAUGUGCAACAUUCUGUCUGGUGUAAACUUUACGUGUCUCUAGUAUGUGCUUAUUUGGUUCCGGCUACAUAUUUCAACAUUCGGCUGCAACCUAUUCUUGGACUUUUUAAGAUGUGAUAUAGUAAUCGCUACAUCGAUCUCAAAUACUUGAAUAUAUUGUGAGUUCCAGAUUCAUAUCUAUUUGUAGUUGUAAUAUUAACAUUGUAAGAUUGGUUUUGGAGAAUAUUUACUCAACCAUGUUUUGAAAUGAAGUAUUCUUAUCCUAUGUUUUUGACUUUUUUUUUUCAAUGAAUUUUGUAUAAGCAUAUGCCAGGAAUUACUUUAGCGCAAUGCCUGCGUGCUUUGCAUUCGUUGCACGUUUGAUGUCUUGCUACUGCUACAACAGAAAAAUAGACUGGCCAACAAUUUGCAAACAGGGUCUAAAUGUCAUCCUAAAAAUGAGUUAUAAUUAGUUGACAUGAUAAGUUAUUUUACCUUACAAGUGCAUAAAAUUAUUCUCUUUAGAAAGUGUUUUUCUCAAGAUCAAUCAAAUGAAAUGUUAGGCCUAAAGCAAAUUAUCAUAUUAGAAGUGGACUUGGAAUAGAGUGUUUGAAGAGCUUUUCGAGUUUUAGUUGGCAUCAUAUUAGGGCUCAACAAUCUUCUAAUCUCAUGUGGUGUUGUAUAUC